UGAUAACGAGACGCUAAGGCGUUGAAGCAGUGUAUGUCAGACUUCCAAGAAAAGCUCGCAAUGUCACAAAUAAAAAUGCCUGUACCAUAACCGACACAGGUGGGUAGGUAGAGUAUACUAAGGGGCGCGAGAUAACUCUCUCUAAGGAACUCGGCAAAAUGACUCCGUAACUUCGGGAGAAGGAGUGCCUUAUUUAUAAGGUUGCAAUAACAAGAUCCAAGCAACUGUUUAUCAAAAACACAGGUCUCCGCUAAGUCGUAAGACGAUGUAUGGGGGCUGACGCCUGCCCAGUGCCAGAAGGUUAAAGAAGUUGGUUAGUGUAUGCGAAGCUGAUGACUGAAGCCCUGGUGAACGGCGGCCGUAACAAUAACGGUCCUAAGGUAGCGAAAUUCCUUGUCGGGUAAGUUCCGACCCGCACGAAAGGCGUAAUGAUUUGGAUACUGUCUCGGAGAGAGGCUCGGUGAAAUAGACUUGUCUGUGAAGAUGCGGACUACCUGCACCAGGACAGAAAGACCCUAUGAAGCUUUACUGUAACUUGAAAUUGGAAUUGGACUUUGCUUGCGCAGUAUAGGUGGGAAGCGUUGAAAAUAUUCUUGCGGGAGUAUUGGAGCUAUCAGUGAGAUACCACUCUUGUAAUGUUAGAUUUCUAACUUUGAACCAUAAUCUGGUCAAAGAACAGUUUCAGGUGGGCAGUUUGACUGGGGCGGUCGCCUCCCAAAUGGUAACGGAGGCGUACAAAGGUUUCCUCUGAACGGAUAGAAAUCGUAUCUAGAGUGUAAAGGCAUAAGGAAGCUUGACUGUGAGACCUACAAGUCGAGCAGGGACGAAAGUCGGUCUUAGUGAUCUGACGGUACUGAGUGGAAAGGCCGUCACUCAACGGAUAAAAGUUACUCUAGGGAUAACAGGCUGAUCUCCCCCAAGAGUUCACAUCGACGGGGAGGUUUGGCACCUCGAUGUCGGCUCAUCGCAUCCUGGGGCGGUAGUACGUCCCAAGGGUUGGGCUGUUCGCCCAUGAAAGCGGUACGCGAGCUGGGUUCAGAACGUCGUGAGACAGUUCGGUCCAUAUCCGGUGUAGGCGCUAGAAUAUUGAGAGGAGCCUUCUUUAGUACGAGAGGGCCGAGAAGGACACACCGCUGGUGUACCAGUUAUCGUGCCAACGGUAAACGCUGGGUAGCUAUGUGUGGAGUGGAUAACCGCUGAAAGCAUCUAAGUGGGAAGCCCACCUCGAGAUGAG
rnacentral:rRNA from 1 species